rnacentral:lncRNA from 1 species
ACAGGCUCCUGUGCGACCUGCGCUCCUUCCUGCUCAUCCUGGACCGCGAGAGCCUCAGCGCCGAGGCCAGAGCCAAGAAGAAGUCGGUGGCCGAGCUCCUGCGGCGGCUGCAGAGCCCCCAGUCAGAGGAUGCAGAGUACAUGAGCAUGCGCUGCCUCUCGCCCUCCUCGGGACCCCCCCAGGGCCGGGAUAAUUCGGGAACCAGGACGCAGGAUGCAAGGGGAGGGAGAGCGUGCGAGCGCCGCCCGGGCAGCACCCAGAGCCCCCACGGUGGGAGCACCUCACCGAGCACCUCUCCAUCCCCACCACCCGACGACUCCUACGAGGACACCGAACCCUUCGGCCCCGGGGGGCGCGGCGGCUCCGGCGGCGCCGACACCGACAGCAGCCACUACGAGUCCUACGGGGAGGACGAGGACGCUGCGCCCCUGCCCGACCGUGCCCAGGACCGUGCCCACUACCUCCGGCGACCACCGGCCGGCGGCCCCCCCCCUUCCAAACGAGCCCCCCGG